rnacentral:lncRNA from 1 species
AAGGGAGCCAGGAAGGAGCACAGAAUGAGCUUAAAACAAAUGGGAGUCAGAGUUCCCACUGUGGGGCAAUGGGAUUUGUGGUGUCUCUGGGACACAGGUUUGACCCCUGGCCAGCGCAGUGGGUUAAGGAUCCUGCAUUGCUGCAUCUGUGGUGUAAGUCACAACUGCAACUCAGAUUUGACCCUGUCCUGGGAAUUCCAUAUGCCUUGGGGUGGCAAAAAAAAAAAAGAAUAAAAAAGAAAUUGGAGUCAUGAGUAGUCAUACUAAUGAGCAAAGGAAAAACUCAUGCCCAUUUCCAUAGAGACAGGGAGAAAAUGUAGGACAGAGACAAUGGAGGGAAGCAGGGUCUAAGCCCAUCUGUUUUGUCAGAGCAACGCUUCUCCAGAUGUGGUCCCCAGACGAGCAGCAUCAGCAUCUCCUGGGGUCUUACUAGACACACACAUUCAUGGACCCCGUUCCUCACCUCCUGGGAAUCAGAAACCCUGGAUUGGAGAGGAGUUGGUGCCAGCCAUCUGCAUUUUAACCCAUCCUCCUCCCCCUUUCCCCUCCUCACCAGCCUCAGCUUGGUCCCCACCUCCACCACCCUGUGACACUGCCAUCUGCUGAAGCUGAAGACCCCCAAGUGAACACUCAGCAGGGGGCAGAUUCUAAAUAACUCGAGAAGACAAAUGCACAGCAGAAAACCUGGCCCAGGUGACUUACCUGCGCCUCCUGGAAAGACCAGAAAAUGUGCCCUUGACAGAGGGGCUCACAAGAUGACCCCCAAAAUGCCCUCUAUUGCAAAAUAGUUGGAAGUCGAGGUCCGCAACUGUUUCUGACAUGCUAGUUCCAAAAGUAAGCUAAAUGCCUUAGGCAUCCAACUCUGCAGAAGAACCCUCUCACCUGUAUUUCAGCCAUCUCCAGCAGUGCUGAAUGAGAAAAAAUCACCCAACAACAACCAAAUGCCAGGAAUCUAGAGAAUCAUGUAAAUUUGCACCUGCACAGGUGGGUAGUAUGUGAUAAGUGCUUCAUUAGAGAUGUGAUCACAGUGUGACUAAGCCCAGAGAUAGCCAUCACAGCCAACUGCAGAUAAUAAAGGAAGGCUUUACCCAACAGACCACAUUUAGUGUGGAGCUUGAAUCACCAGUAGAGUUUUACCAGGUUGAGAAAAGAGCAGAAAAAAAGAUUGGUGGGUCGUGAAGGGAGAGGAAGAUGGGAAGGUGGGUUACAAAGAGCCCCAGGGCCAGGCUGAGAAAGAGAAUACAUUAUUCUGUGGAAAGUGGAGACCCUUGAAGGCUUGGAGGCAGAGGGAUGGUUUGAUGAAAGAGACAGAUAGAAAGACCAUUUGGAGAGGGGUCCAGCUAGUGAGAUUCUAGGUGGGGUUUAUUCCUCUUUAUUUGUAUUCUUUCCUACCAUAAAUAUAUCUUACUCACUACUUCCUUUGGAAUGAAGAAGUAUGGUUGUGAAGAGAAGGAGCAACCCAGGACCAGAAAGCCCUGGAGACCCAGAAUUAAAGACAAGAGCAGUGACCAAGCCCAUGGGCAGAAGGGUUAGCCCUGGCAAAGAGUAGGGGCCAUCUGUGCUUCAAGAUCAGAAUGAAAGGGAUAAUAAUUCAUGACAUAGGAGUUUCUGAAGCAGAACAGAACUGAGAUCAUUUGUACCAGAGGCUUCUAUUUUCUUAGUCAUGAGACAGCCACAGCUUCCCCUGAGAAUACAGGGUCAGGGCUGGACUGGGAGCUUAAAGAGAUCUGCCAAGGUUUGGAACAAACAUCUAUCACCCCUAUAGUGUAUGUUAUGCAUCAGGAGCUGUCCUCUGUAUUUUACGUAUAUUAACUCGUGUAAUCCUCCCCACCACUCCAGGAGGGAGACACUACUAUUAUCCUACCCACUUGACAGAAAACUGCAGCUGAGAGGUUAUGGUAGAAGGUAAGAGACAUAGCUAGGAACUGAUCCCAGGCAGUCACCAGCCAAUGUCAGGAUUGAGGGAUGAAACACCCUGUGAAUGGCUGCAAGUUUGUAAAGUAGAAUUGAAAACUCAGCUGAGUUUAAAAGCCAUGCACUUGCCUCGGAGCCAAUCAGAAGUCCUGCUCUUGUGCACUGCUGUGGAGAGAGCUUUAGAGGAACUAUCAUAUAGUCGCCAAAGGAAAGACUUCUUGCCCACAAAACCUUGCCAUGAGUUGCAUCCACAGAAGGUGAAAUGGGCUUUGGGGUUGCGUGAGAAAGGCUGGGUAGGAGCUUUCCCGUGGAGAGCGCCAACUGUGGGCCAAUGGAUGUCCUGCUGAGCUGGGCCACCCGCAUCCCGGGGACUCAGAAGAGGGCUGCUUCCCAGCCACCGAGACUUUGCCUCAUCCAACUGUGGAAUUGGAAGUGCUUCAAGUAUUUGGGGGAAGAGCAGCUGCCAGCUAAGCUGAAUCAAAGAGCUAAAAAUAGCAAAAGCAAACACAAAGACACUGUGAAAAUCAGAUUAUUUGGGAAGCCAAGCCAAACUUAGAAAAACUACAAGAUGGGAGGAGAACAAGCAAAUAACACCAUAGCCUCCCUCCCCAGUUGUUGUGGGCUUGCUAAGCAGAACUCUCUCUCGCUGUACCUUCUAGGUAGAAAGGAUUUCAGGUCACUUUGCACUGCACAUCAAAGCGUUCAGAUCAGAUAAGCAAACUACCUUGUCUAAUACUGUGUUCACAUCAAACAGAAUCUAAAUCCUAGGGCGGCCAGAGGGUCCCUACUCCUUUCCCUACCAUCAGUGGGAUGGACCUGCCUUAUGCAUGAGGGAAAUAAAUCUCAAAAUCUUAAGUGUCUCAAAAAAAAAAAAAAUGCCCAGCCCCUGACACAACAUUUUGAGAUGCCCACAGGAGACCCAGCCAAGACUGGGAUCUGUUAGGAUACACUUGGCUACCACACCAGAGAACCUCCUGAACAGUGACCUCACCCAUAAGGGUGUAUAUGUUUUUGUGAAGUAACAAGACAAUUGGGGGAAGUUAAUUCCAGGGUCAGUUCAGCAGUUCUAUGUUGUCAGUACAUCGGUCAGUGCAGUUGAAGUCAGGGGCGGAUAGGUGUGGUCCACAGUGUCUGCCCACCUAGUUAUGUAGAGAGAGGCUCACUUUCUGCUCAGGCUGAUGUCUUAAUGCCCAGCCCUUCCCAGGGGAUAGCAAUGUGUUCUUCAGCUAUUAGUCGCUCCUGUCUUCUCCAUCUUCUGGAGACCACUAGCAUUCCUUGGCUCAUGAUCCCUUCCUUCAUCUUCAAAGUACAUCACUGCAACUUCCCUUCCAUCAGAAACUUGGCCUCUGUGUACCAAUGAAGAAUAGAAAGGCAGAGACAGGGUUUGGGGCAAAAGUAGAAAGGGGUAGAUGUUAUAGCUUUGCCAGGCAAACAAGGCCACAGAAGGCUAAUGCCCUAAAGACUGUGCCCUCCUUUGGGAGAGAAUAGGAGGGGCCUUAUAGUUUGGGAGUGGAAAAUAGGGCCACAGAUAAGGAUGACCAUAGAUGCAAGCUUGGGUUCCUCUUCACAGCUGGUGUCAGGUGGUCCCAGAAACGUUUCUGGAGCCCCACAGGAUCCUGCUUGGUUUCAUCAUCAUAUCCCCCACCCUCCUUCUCUGGCUCUCUUCCCUAAUUCUUUACAAAGACCUUAUUACUGCCUUGGACCUGCCUAGACCAUCCAGGACAAUCUCCCCCAUGUUGAGGUCCUUAACUUAAUUAUACCUACAAAGGCCCUAUAGCCACGUAAGAUAAGAUAGUCAUAGAGUCUAAGGAUUAGGGCAUGAUCAUCCUUAGAGGAUCAUUAUUCAGGACCUCAAAAAAAAAACACCUCUCUUUGGUGAUAUCUUCUAUGCUCUCACUCACUUUGAGGAAACAAGCCAUUCUUCCUAAAGAUUUAAUCAGAUAAUUCCAGAAAUGUCCACCUGUGUUCCCUAGAUAGCCCUCUUGGAUACCCCAGGCAGUUUGGCUUCCCUGCAGCAGGUGUGAUGAGGUUAAUGAUGACCUUUUAUUUGGGGCCACACAGUGAUGCUUCUGAUAGUGUGUAUUUAAGGGUUUUUCAAAGAAAUAGAAUCAACAUGAGUUUGGGUUUAAGUAUACAUAUAGAUGUAGAUAUAGAUAUAGAUGAAGAGAUUUAUUAUAAGUAGUUGGCUCACACAAUUAUGGAGUCUGACAAGUCCAAAAUCAGCAUAGCCCACAUCCCAGUUUGAGUCCAAAAGCCAGAAGCUGCUGUAGAACCAGGAAGAGCUGAUGUACCAGUUUUAAAGGCACCAGGGGGAGUUCUCAUUUUGGCUUGAUGGGUUAAGAACCCGACUAGUAUCCAUGAGGAUGCAAGAUCCAUCCCUGGCCUCGCUCAGUGGGUUAGGGAUUCAGUGUUGUGGUGAGCUGUGGUUUAGGUUGAAGACAUGGCUCAGAUCCAUCCUGCAUUUCUGUGGCUGUAGCAUAGGUCAGCAGCUGCAGCUCCAGUUUGACUCCUAGCCUGGGAACUUCCAUAUGCUGCAGGUGUGGCCCUAAAAAGGGAAGCCGAAUUCUCUGUUGCUCAUGGAGGGUCAAUCUUUUUGUUUUAUUCAGGCCUUCCACUGAUUGGCUGAGGCCCACCCACAUGAGGGAAAGAAAUUGCUGAUGUAAAUGUUAAUCUCCUCCUUCCAAAAAGAGAAACACCCAGAAUAAUGUUUGAUGAAAUAUCUGGACCUCUCCAUGGCCUAGGCAAGCUGACAUCUAAAAUGAACCAUCCCCCAGCAUCAGCAGCAGAGAGAACAGCUGUGCUGCUUGUGCCCCCUGGGGCAGGUGUCCCCCAGCCCUGACACAGCCACUGGUGCCACUGUAGUGUGCACAAGGGGUGCCCAGAGACCACCGGAACCUAGCACAGUAGCCAACACUUCACAGUCAGCACACACUUGGAGCUCAUGCAGGGCAGCCUGAGGGUCCCACAAAGAAGGCAAGAAUAGGGAGUUCCCAUUGUGGCUCAGCGGAAAGAAAUCUGACUAUGAGGACGCAGGUUCAAUCCCUGGCCUUGCUCCCUGGGUUAAAGAUCCGGCAUUGCCUUGAGCUGUGGCAGAGGUCUCAAACAUGCCUUGGAUCUGGUGUUGCUGUGUCUGUGGCGUAGGCCAGCAGUUAUAGCUCUGAUUCGCCCCCUAGCCUGGGAACCCCAUAUGCCAUGAGUGUGGCCCCAAAAAGACCAAAAAAAGAAGGCAGGAAUGUAACUCUGCAGACCCUUUAUCAAAGCUACCUCUUCUGGAGGAAGAAGAAUGUGCCCCUCCUCACUUAUAGCCACUUCCUCACCCUGUGAACCAAACUAUAUAUUUUUUUUCAUUUUUCAGAAAUUCUAUUGAAGCGUAGUUAAUUUAUAAUAUUGUGUUAAUUUCUGCUGUACAGAAAAAUGAUUCAGUUAUACAUGUACACACAUCCAUUCUUUUUCAUUUUCUUUUCCCAUGUAGGUUACCACAGAAUAUUGAGUAGAUUUCCCCGUGCUAUACAACAGGUACUUGUUGACCAUUCAUUCCAUAUACAAUAGUGCGCAUAUGCCAAUUCCAAACCACCAAUUCGCCCCACCACCUGUCCCCUUUGUAACCAUAAGUUUGUUUCCUAUGUCCAUGGGUCUGUUUCUGUUGUAUAAAUAAGUUCACUUGUAUCAGUUUUUCAGAUUCCGCAUAGAAGUG